rnacentral:rRNA from 1 species
UAUCCGGAUUUAUUGGGUUUAAAGGGUGCGCAGGCGGCCUGUUAACUCAGCGGUAAAAUUGCGGGCCUCAACCUCGUCGAGCCGUUGAAACUGGGUGUCUUGAGUGGGCGAGAAGUACGCGGAAUGCGUGGUGUAGCGGUGAAAUGCAUAGAUAUCACGCAGAACUCCGAUUGCGAAGGCAGCGUACCGGCGCCCAACUGACGCUGAAGCACGAAGGCGUGGGUAUCGAA